CCCUUAGAUGUCCUGGGCCGCACGCGCGCUACACUGACAUGUUCAACAAGUUUCUCCUAGUUCGACAGGACUGGGAAAUCUUUGAACGCAUGUCGUGAUAGGGAUAGAUCAUUGCAAUUAUUGAUCUUGAACGAGGAAUUCCUAGUAAACGCGAGUCAUCAGCUCGCAUUGAUUACGUCCCUGCCCUUUGUACACACCGCCCGUCGCACCUACCGAUUGAAUGUUUCGGUGAAGAUUUCGGAUAGGACUGAUUUGAUUUAUUUCAUUUCUGACCUAAAAGCUAUCUAAACCUCAACAUUUAGAGGAAGGUGAAGUCGUAACA
rnacentral:rRNA from 1 species